CCGGGUUACCAAACCGGGUUACAGGGGGUUCAAAAGAACGGGUCGGGUACCAAAAAUGGACCCACGGGUACCCAGACCCGUCCAUCUACGAAACACAGCGUUUUGUCAUUUCUCUUGUUCUCACUUCUCUCACUCUCGUUUUUCCUUUCCAUAUUCUCUCACUCUCUCGUUCCCUCACUCCACUCGUUCCAGAUCUUUCACUCUUUCAUUCCAGUUAGUAACUCUUAGUUUCACACACUCUCCGUUAAAUCACUCUUAGUUAGGAUUUUUUAAUUAGGGUUUCUGAAUCUAAGGUUUUUAAUUUAGGGUUUAUGAUGAUUGUUGUUGUUACAGGUGAUUAAAGGCUUUGGACCAGUUCUCUCACUCUACAGGUGAUUAGAGUUUGUGUUUUUUUUGCUUAUAUUGUUGUUGUUUCGAUGAAUCUCUUUGUUCUCUCUAACUCUCUAACUUAAAAACUUGAUUUGUGCAUAAUAUUUGAUUACUUUGGGUUGAUCUUUGGAAACUGGAAUGUGACUUUUGCUACCCCUGCAUGAACCGUGAUUUUUGGAACUUAGUUGCAGGUGAUAUUUCAGUUCUCAUAUCAGUGGCUAGUCUUGCCUUGGCAAAUUAAACAAAUAAGAUGGAUCAACGUCAAAGUAGCACGGAAAGAGUCUUAGAGCAAGAGCAAUGCAAUUGUAAGUGUAUUUGGCUUCGUGUCUUUGAAAUAUGAAUUGGGACUGCUAUAUGAACUGGGACUGCUAUAUAACUGCUAUAUGAAUUGGGACUGCUAUAUAACUGCUAUAUAAAUUGGGACUGCUAUAUAACUUCGUGUCUUUGAAAUAUGAAUUGGGACUGCUAUAUGAAUUAGGACUGCUAUAUAACUGCUAUAUGAAUUGGGACUGCUAUAUAACUGCUAUAUGAAUUGGGACUGCUAUAUAACUUCGUGUCUUUGAAAUAUGAAUUAGGACUGCUAUAUGAAUUGGGACUGCUAUAUAACUGCUAUAUGAAUUGGGACUGCUAUAUAACUGCUAUAUGAAUUGGGCUUGUUAAGUCACUGUUUUGAGAAUUGGGACAGUUAAGUCACUUUUUUGAGAAGUCACUGUUUUGAAUAUGAAUUGCAUAUG